rnacentral:rRNA from 1 species
GACAGAGGUGCCAAGCGUUAGGCGGAAUCACUGGGCUUAAAGCGUGUGUAGGCGGAAUGGUAAGUACCUUGUGAAAUCCCACGGCUCAACCGUGGAACUGCUCGGUAUACCGCUUUUCUUGAGCCACUUAGGGGCUGUCGGAACAAACGGUGGAGCGGUGAAAUGCGUAGAUAUCGUUUGGAACGCCAAAGGUGAAAACAGACAGCUGGGAGUGUGCUGACGCUGAGACACGAAAGCCAGGGGAGCGAACGGG